AAGGAUCAUUAUCGAGUUUUGAAUGGGUUGUCUGCUGGCUCGCAAGGGCAUGUGCACGCCUGUCUCAUCCACUCUCAACUUCUGUGCACUUUUCAUAGGCCGGCUUGUGGGUGCGUUCGCGCACUUGUAGGUGUCGGGCUUAUGCUUUACUACAAACGAUUCAGUUUUAGAAUGUCAUACUUUGCUAUAACGCAAUUAUAUACAA
rnacentral:misc_RNA from 1 species